UGUCUAACUCUUCUGUGCGUGUGUCUCUUGUUUCUUUCUCUCUCUCUCCUUAGGGCGCUUGGCUGGGGCUGCUCGCUCGGGUUCUGCCUGUUGUUGCGCGAAAUGGCGGCUGGCGUCUUGCAGGGGCAGCCGCAGCUGGGCAGGGUCGGGAGCUGCCGGGGGAGGCAAAGGGAGAAAACGGGCGCCAUGAUCUCAGCGCUAGGGAAGACUCCGCGGGCAGGGCGUCCCCGAAGAGCUGGCGAAAAGAAAAGCGGGACCAGGCCUGGGCUUCUCCUUCCCGAAUAGUGCCGGGGCUGUGCUGAGAGGAGCGGGAAACGAGCGAGAGGGGAGCAACUCCUGCCUGCCUUUGUAACUGCGUCAGUACAAGAUGGCGCAGGGUGUCCCUGGAGAGGGAAGGGAGUUGCACGUCCGCCGGAGGUCAUGUGACCGCGUUGCAUUCCUGUGGGGUUUGGCUGCGGACCAAGCUGGCUUAGGCGGCGGCGGCGGCUGCCCGGGAGAGCCCGGGCUUCCCUCCCCCUCCUCCUGCACAACGUCGUCGGUCCCGCGCUGGUUCCCUUCCCCCACCAGCCUUAUGCACGAGGGUGUAGCUGCUGCCGAGGAAGGUUCUCGCUUCUCUCUUUACUCUCCACCCACCUCCAGGGUGUAGCUCCUCUUGGGGGAAGCUUUCCAUUCCGCCCCCUCUCUGCGCAAGGCUUUCUUUACCCACCGCCAGGGAAAGUUCCCCCUGGGUGCCUGCCGGCUCCGCCCGGGCGUGGGAGCCGGCUGCGCUCACGGUAGUGCCGCCCGCUCGGUGCUGCUCGAAGUUAAGUUGCAGGGGGUUAUGGAGUGGUUCUUACUGGAACAGUCGUUUUAAGCGAUGUCUAAAUGACCUCAUUAAAGCCGCUGAGGAAGACGUACAGGCCAUGCGGAGUUGUUGUGACGAGGAGGUCUUGGCUGUUCUAGUGUUCUCUGCCGGGGGUGGGGGGGCAAGGGAAGAUCUCUCAGGUGUUUAUGACUUUAUUCUGUUUGAACAGGAAAAGUGGAUCGCUGUUCUUUGUGUGCUGUUGAAUCCUAUUGCAGGAAUUGAGCAGCUGUCUGUGGAGCGACAGGCCGCAGACGGCCUGCAUCCUUAACAGGGGGAUUGAUGUAUGUACUUAGUGCAAAUGAAAAAUACGGUCUGAAAAUAUUGUGAGGACUCCCCAUGUUUUACUUUGAGGACCAUAGGCACAUGAACUCGUUGCAUAGGCCUGAAAGGUUGGCAAAUAUAUUUUCCAGGUCUUUUAAAAAAAAUUCAAUAUUUGCUGGAUGGGAAGUGAAAAAUAUAUGUUUUCCAAUCCUAACUCUUUUCUUUAAGGAAUGCAACUCCUAUUGCUGUUUAGUUGAGCUUCUCAUAUUUUCAAAGCAAUUCAUUGCUAGUUCCCAUGUCUUGUUCGUGUAUGCCACCAUGUAAAUUUAGCCACGGUAUCUAACCCAAUGAACAAAUUAACAGCUAAAAGUUGUUGAUCA